rfam:Oryza sativa (indica cultivar-group) chromosome 1, whole genome shotgun sequence.
AAUAAGUACAGCCAUGAGUUUCCACGCCCAAUUUUGAUCGUCCGUUUUAUUUGAAAUUUUUUUAUAAUUAGCAUUUUUAUUGUUAUAAGAUGAUACAACAUGACUUAUGUUUUUAAUUUUUUAAAAAAAAAUUUAAAUAAGACGAAUGGUUAAAGUUGGACGCUGAAAAUUAUGGUUGUACUUAUU